GAUGAACGCUGGCGGCGUGCCUAAUACAUGCAAGUCGAGCGAACGGACGAGAAGCUUGCUUCUCUGAUGUUAGCGGCGGACGGGUGAGUAACACGUGGAUAACCUACCUAUAAGACUGGGAUAACUUCGGGAAACCGGCGCUAAUACCGGAUAAUAUUUUGAACCGCAUGGUUCAAAAGUGAAAGUCGGUCUUUCUGUCACUUAUAGAUGGAUCCGCGCUGCAUUAGCUAGUUGGUAGGGUAACGGCUUACCAAGGCAACGAUGCAUAUCCGACCUGAGAGAGGGAUCGGCCACACUGGAACUGAAACACGGUCCAGACUCCUACGGGAGGCAGCAGUAGGGAAUCGUCCGCAAUGGGCGAAAGCCUGACGGAGCAACGCCGCGUGAGUGAUGAAGAUCUUCGGAUCGUAAAACUCUGUUAUUAGGGAAGAACAUAUGUGUAAGUAACUGUGCACAUCUUGACGGUACCUAAUCAGAAAGCCACGGCUAACUACGUG
rnacentral:rRNA from 1 species